AUUGGCUGAUCCCUCAUGAAUAUGUAGAUUACUCUCACCCUUCACCUCGCUCUGGAAAAACCAGCCACCAUGUUGUAAGGAUGCUCAAGUAGCACUAUGGAGAUUCACACGUGGCAAAGAGCUGAGGCCUCCCACCAACAGCCACAUGAGGGAGCCAGAGUAGGAGUGGCUCCUCCAGCCCCAGUCGAACCUUCAGAUGUGACAGACUUGGCUGCUGACAGUUUGCAAUCUCAUGAGACCCUGAGCCAGAACCACCCAGCUAAAUCAGUCCUGGACUCCUGAUCAACAGAAAUGACCAAAGAGAGGCGUUUUGAACAUUAAGACGCUUUGCUGCUUCUCACCUGAAACACGUAACAGGAACACCAACCUCUUCAGCCGCGGGAAAUCUUCUUUGACACAAAACUCAAACCGAGUCAACCCAAAGUUCCAAGUUCUUUGCUUUCUCUUCUGUGUGUGUGUUGGUUUGUCCCAAAAGUCAGUUUGCAAGUUGAAACUUCAUGAAAUUACUCGUAGCAGAAAUAAAGUACAUUGUACAAAUCA